UACUAUUUCUUUCUGGGCUUGCUAGCAAGGUUGGCUAAUUCCACAACCAGAGCUUUACCCUCUCCCUUUACAUCUACUAGAUGUCAGAAUAACACUGAAAUCUAGAGCUAACGAGUCUCCGUGAUGCGAGCCCGCUAGGAAGGAAGGAAGGAAUGAGAGGUCGACAUAGAAGAAGCAGGAGACAUUUAAACUAGCCUGACAGACACUCAGCUCUCAAAAUGCCAGACAUGAAUGCCCUCCUCACCAGUUGCCUUAUCCUGUCGUGCCUGCUGCUGUGUUCGGAGACGGUGCCCAUAGGUAUGGACAAGACUAAAGUCAAGCUGCCCGAGGAGACCGUGGAGGAGACUCCGCAGAGCGUGGACACAGGGCUGCACUAUGAUCGCUAUCUCAGGGAGGUCAUCGACUAUCUGGAGAAAGACCAGCACUUCAGAGAGAAGCUCCACAACACAGACAUGGAGGACAUCAAGCAAGGGAAGCUGGCUAAAGAGCUGGACUUUGUGAGCCAUCACGUGCGGACUAAACUGGACGAGCUGAAGAGGCAGGAGGUCAGUCGCCUGCGCACCCUCAUCAAAGCCAAGCAGGACAUGGAGGAGGGGAACGGUAUGGCAGUAGACCACCAGGCCCUCCUGAAGCAGUUUGAGUAUCUUAACCACAUGAACCCACACACCUUUGAGGUUGACGAUCUGGACAGACUCAUCAAGUCGGCGACCAGUGACCUGGAGAACUUUGAUAAGGAGCGUCACGAGGAGUUUAAGCGCUAUGAGAUGACGAAGGAGCACGAGCGGCGGGAGCACCUGAAGACGCUGGACGAGGAGGCGCGCCACAGGGAGGAGGAGCACUACGAGGAGAUGAGGAAGAAACACGCCGACCACCCCAAAGUCAACCACCCGGGCAGCCAGGAUCAACUGAAAGAGGUAUGGGAGGACAAGGAUGGCCUGGACCCGGACGACUUUGACCCCAAAACCUUCUUCAACCUUCACGACAGUAACGGAGAUGGUUACUUUGAUGAGCAGGAGCUGGAGGCUCUCUUCACCAAAGAGCUGGAGAAGAUCUACGAUCCGACUAAUGAGGAGGACGACAUGGUGGAGAUGGAGGAGGAGAGACUGCGUAUGAGGGAACAUGUCAUGAACGAGGUGGAUGCCAAUAAGGACCGUUUGGUGUCUCUAGACGAGUUCCUGGUCGCCACCAAGAAGAAGGAGUUCCUAGAACCUGACAGCUGGGAGACGCUGGAACAGAACCAGGCGUACACGGAGGAGGAGAUGGGGGAGUUUGAGACCCAUCUGGCCCAGCAGGAGGAGGAGCUGAGCAUGAAGGCGGAACACCUGCAGAAACAACGAGACGAGCUGGAGAGACAGCAGGAGCAGCUCAACGCACAGAAACUAGAGCUUCAGCAGGCGGUGGAGCACAUGGAGAACAUAAAGAAGACCCAGAGUGUGGAGCCCCCUGGGGGUGAAGUAGAGGACAACGCCAUCCCACUAGCCCAGGACCAGGGCCACCCUCUGCCCCCCGGCCACGCAGAGCUGCCCCCCCACCAGGCCAUACCUCAGCAGGAACUGCCCCAGCACGGGGUACCCCAGGAUCUCCAUCCAGGCCCCCCAGGCCAUCACCAACUGCAGCAGGGGCUACCCCAGGAUCUCCAUCCAGGGCCCCCAAGCCAUCACCAACUGCAGCACGGGCUACCCCAGGAUCUCCAUCCAGGCCCCCCAGGCCAUAACCAACUGCCCCAGGCCGGGGGGCACCUAGAGCAGACAGGCCAUCUUUUGCCCCAGGGAGAGCAACACCAGCCCCAGGAGCACAAUGCCAUACCUUAGGGAUAUUUGACCACAACAUGGACUGGAGCAGUGCCCUCAAGAUGUCUGAGGACCUACAUGUGUCUGAGCAAGUGUGUGUGUGUGUGUGUGUGUCUGUGUCUGUGUGUGUGUGUAGUCCUAACUGUGGGCCUGUCUCUGUGUGGAUAUUGGGAGAUCCUGAACUGGACUGAAUCAACAUUGGGACUCCUGAUCAUGUUCAUUGAUUGGAGAUCACAGACAGCACCAUGACUUUUCAUAUAUUCUUUUUAAUUGGAAAACUGUAGGCAACUGCAAAUGGACUGGUUUGUGUGAGUGUGUGCGUGUGCGUGAGUGUGUGUGUGCGUGCGUGAGUGUGUGUGUGCGUGCGUGAGUGAGUGUGUGUGUGCGUGCGUGCGUGCGUGAGUGAGUGCAUGCGUGAGUGAGUGUGUUACACAUUGUUUUACAGAAAUGUAGAGAAUUGGAGAGUGCUAAAGCCACUGUUGCUGGAUUAAAGAUAUAAAGAUUUGUAGUGUUACACUUUGAUGUGAAAUGAUGGAGAAACAGAAGAAAUAUGGUGAACUCUGCUCUUCCUCAUUGUCCUCUAUGGAGAUUAGUCUGUAAAGGGUGAAUCUACUCUAUUCAUCUAUUUUCAGUGGCACACGAAACAUUGUUUGCAUGAAAGGAAGAAUGUAGUCCUUUAAAUAUCAGUAAAUUCAGGAUGCAAUUUCAUGAAGUCAGUCAAAAAACUAAAGCCUACAGGACGUUGGUCUCUUCAGGACAAUGAUUCAAAGCAGGCCUCAGAUUUCACCAUGAAGUACUCCAUUAAAAGCAAACAUUACCUGUUGGGUUCCCUGCAGCCCCACAUCUUAAACAGGAUUGACAAUCUGUGGGUAACUUGUAAACGUGCAUAUAUGAAAAUUCCUAAAUAAGUAUUUUCUGUUCCGAGGGAGGGUUUUGAGACCACAAUAUUAAGUAAAAAAAAUCUGCGGUGGACAUGAUACAGGUAACAGAUUAGACUGGUUUACCCCGUAAACUGAAUGCACUCAAUUCCUUCUAUUUCUAAUCAACACCGGAAUAAGGGACUAGGCAUUUUGGGCUAAUAUGGUUCUGAUCUGGCUGUUAUAUGGCCCAGAUCUGGCCCUGAUAUGGUUCUGAUCUGGCUGUUAUAUGGCUGUAAUGUGGCCCUGAUUAGUAGAAGCUCCUACUUCACUUGAAAUAAACUUUAACCCUU